ACCAUUAUGGAGUGUUACAGUAGAAAAACAAGCUCAACAACAAGAGAAAAACCAUCCAUGGAAUUAUGGAAACGAAAAGGUGAGACAUACAUGGAAUAUUUCGCAUCCAAAAGCAUAAUAUAGGCUACUUGUUCAUCAUUUUCUCCCUCACACCUUUCAUAUGGAGUAGCAACUUAUCAUUGUCGGGAAUGUUUUCUUUAAU